CGGUGUUUAACUGGCGUGAUGUGGGACGUCCUACCGGUGGGCUUAGCCUCGCGAGGGGCGGCCCAACUAAUAUCCCGUCGCGGUGCUCUUUACUGAGUGUCGAGUCGGGCCGGUACGUUUACUUUGAACAAAUUAGAGUGCUUAAAGCAGGCUAUCCUCGCCUGAAUACUGCGUGCAUGGAAUAAUGGAAUAGGACCUCGGUUCUAUUUUGUUGGUUUUCGGAACCCCGAGGUAAUGAUUAAUAGGGACAGAUGGGGGCAUUCGUAUUGCGACGUUAGAGGUGAAAUUCUUGGAUCGUCGCAAGACGGACAGAAGCGAAAGCAUUUGCCAAAAAUGUUUUCAUUAAUCAAGGACGAAAGUUAGAGGUUCGAAGGCGAUCAGAUACCGCCCUAGUUCUAACCAUAAACGAUGCCAGCUAGCGAUCCGCCGAAGUUCCUCCGAUGACUCGGCGGGCAGCUUCCGGGAAACCAAAGCUUUUGGGUUCCGGGGGAAGUAUGGUUGCAAAGCUGAAACUUAAAGGAAUUGACGGAAGGGCACCACCAGGAGUGGAGCCUGCGGCUUAAUUUGACUCAACACGGGAAACCUCACCAGGCCCAGACACCGGAAGGAUUGACAGAUUGAUAGCUCUUUCUUGAUUCGGUGGGUGGUGGUGCAUGGCCGUUCUUAGUUGGUGGAGCGAUUUGUCUGGUUAAUUCCGAUAACGAACGAGACUCUAGCCUGCUAAAUAGGCGUACCUUAUGGUAUCGCGAAGGCCCCCGGCUUCGGCCGGUGGGUUUUUACUACCAACGUACAAACAAAUCUUCUUAGAGGGACAGGCGG
rnacentral:rRNA from 1 species